CCAGUCACUGCUAAGCUAGCUAACUACUAAGCUUGACUUCAACGGCUUUAUUAAGAAGACUUAGCUAAUAUUAACAGUCCAUGGGACUGCAAGCCGAGCCACGAACCGCGUAACCAGUCCUGUUUAUCCAAGAUUUUUUUCACUGAACAUGGACAAGCCAAUGCCACACAUGAGCAACCUGGUUACUGAUGCUGAGCUUUAAGAGGAACCUUAAUUGCAACAAAGGGCACUAAUGACAUUAACCUAAGAUGGUUCCGAACCCUCUGUCUUCUCCUAUUUUGAUGCAAUCUUUAGAGAGGACAUGUGAAUACCAGCUAAAGGCGAGACACGAUGGACUGAUGCUGCCCUGACAGAAUCAACCAAUGCUGCUAGCAGCUGGGGCCAAAAAUCAAGAUGCAGCAGUGAAGAGGCAAGAGGCUGCAGCACCAAGGGGAGGCGAGAGGUGAGAGAGGGAGGAAGAGAAAUGCAACAAAGACAUAAAAUGGCAAGGCACAGCGCUGCUGAGACAGAGGUGGGUGUUCACUGAAGCUCUGAGACUACAUUGGAAUUAAAGUUACUUAGGUGUUUUGGAGGGUGGUAGAAAAUGGUGUGUGGCUGUACAAAUAAUCCUGAAACUGUACUACAUUCACUUCUCAACAUUAUUCAAAUUGUAGAUAACAUAAAAAUAUGAAAUAUUUCUCUUUUACUUAGCUAUAGUGAUAUUGGCUUGCCCAUAGUGAGCUAACUUUAGCUUUGUUUUGCCCUGUAAGAGUGUCAGCCCAAUGAAAAUGUUACCACAUUUGCAUACCAAUCAACACAUCUCUCACAUCACCGCAGCCAUCUACACUUGCAGCAGAGAGAAGAAAAGUGGCCG